UCUGAAGGGAUCCAGCAGAACAGUACUAUAAGCAUCUAUCCUCUCCAAAUUUGCACUUGUUGAAAGGGCAACUACUUUCGGAGGGAAGUCCCAAACUAAUAGGACGAUUUUGGUUUGUUUUGUUAUUAUCUUUUUGCUUUUAGAGAUUUUUAGUACUACUAUUAGAAACAUAAUAAUGUUUCCUUUAUGAAGAGGAAGUAAAAUCUCUCGAACCUCCCCAAAUAUUAUGUGCUGCUACUGGGGGACAAGGUUUUGUGACUGUUUAUUCUUUUCAUUUCUGUAGUUUUUUCUUAUAGAAGUCUGAGUCACCAACCUAGUAGACAAGUAUGCAUGUUAAUCUCUAUGGCCUCCUUUGGAAGGGGAGUCAUGGUGUAGUGGUAAAAUUUGUUAUCGUGUGAUCAGAGGUCUCGUGUUCAAGCUGUAGAAACAAUCUCUUGCAAAAACCAAAAGCAAACUAAGAUUGCCUACAAUAGAACCAGUGUAGUUAAAUCCUUUUGCUUAACGCGCGUAGCGGGACUUUAGACACCGGAUUGCCUUAAUUUCUUAUUUUUCUUUUUCUAUGGAAGGUUAAGAUAAUUUGAAGACUAACCUCUGACAAAGCUCUCAAAGGAUUUGAUAGACCACAAGCUGAAAGCCUGCUCCGCAGCUUUGACAGCUCUAAGGGGGAAAAUGCCUACAAAAAAAAGUAACAAAAUAUCAGUUCAAUAAAAGGAAAAUUUAUACUACAGCAUAAGACAUGCAUCCGCAAAGAAGGCGUAAGAAACUUUGGCUAUUGUUUAUAUCUCUCGGCAUUUUUUCAUCCAUACAGCAAAUGCAAAUGCAAUAUUUGUCAAGAAUAAUCUUCUUAUUGUUAAGAACCCGGACAGAAAUUUUUCAAGGAAGUCUACCAACAAAUCCUAUUCUCAACGUAGGACAAACUAGCCCAACCACCGCAGGCCCCUCUCCCAAAUAAAAACCAAAAAAAAAAAAAAAAAAAAAAGGAAAGAAAAAGAAGAAAAAAUGAAACCACACCCCAUGCUCAAGUGAUAUCAGUAGGUGUAUUUCCCAUUAUAGCUUAGGUGUGUGUUCAAUUCUCAUUGUGUCUCCUUUCCCUUACUUAACGCUUCGCUAUAAUAGCAAACAAUAACGAAAUAAAGUUCUACGCUCCAGAGGACACUACAAGAAAAUAGACUUUUAACGACCAGUUCUUAACGGAGGGAUACGAAUCCGGUCAUUAGAAGCAUAUUUAUAACGACAUACUUAUUUUCCGGUCGUUAAAGUCAAUUUUUAUUUCAAUAUUAAUGAGGGAAUAAUAUUUGGCCAUUAAAAGCAUAACAUCCGGUCGUUAACACUUAAUUAAUAAGAAAAAGGGCGCUAACCUUUCCCUCUUAGUUUUUCCCAACACUCCAUUAAGACCACCCACACCUCCAACCCCAACAGCAAAUAAAAGCAAAAUCCCUCAUGUAUCUCUGUUGUGCUUUCCCCAACCGACCAUCCGCAACCCUCAAAUAAAAGAAAGAAACACCCUUAUUUUCUAUACAAAAUUUACAGUUACUGAGCACGGAGCAACUCCACGAAGAACCACAAACGAUUCUGGAAUCCUCACUGCGACUAAUCUUCCGUUUCCAUUGAAGUGGCCUUAUGGUUUCGUUCUCCUUCUCAUCAAGUUAUGUUUUCUGCCAAGUAUCUAAACUUCUAGUUGUAACUGUUGUAGAAUUGAGAAUUCCUUUAUUGUUCCAAUUAUUUCUCUUGGUAUUUAUUAAAUAUAUUGGUUUUCUUCUUAGAAUUACAUAUUUGCUUAUAUAAUUACAUCCAGCUUUUUAGAGCAUUACGAUUAAUGUGCAGCAGUCGCUUAUUUUCUUCCUCUGACUUAUUGUGUGCCUUUUUUGAUGAUAUAACUAUGGAAAGAGUUAAUGGUAUUAUUUGAUUAAUAUUUUUAGUUAAUUAAACUUAAUAAUUGGGGUUUACCAAAGAUGUUUUUGCUCGCAAUUUCACUAAUAAUUUCGCUGUAUUUAUCCCUUAAAGGGGACAAAUCGUUAUGGAGUUUGGGGAUACUAACACCUUCCUAAUAUAUAGAGGUUCAUAUUGUUAGUAAAGACGCUACUCAGUAUAAUAUAAAUUUGCUUGAAUAUCUGUGACUUUUAAGGUGUGUCUCUUGAUACUUAAUGUUAUUAGUAAGGUGGCUAUUAUGUGCCCAAUAAAUAGUUGUACUGACGGAGGUAUCUGAAAGGAGAGGUAUGUGAUCCCUACUUGGUAAAAGAUGAAAGGAUUCUUAGAUAGAAAAGGAGAAGCUACGAUCCAACUUUAAUUGCAAAAUUUGAUCUCUUAUAUUUAAUGCCAAAAAGUCCCUUCCCUUUGUCAAAUCCCUUAUUGCAGGUAAUCGAUUAAGAUGUUUUGCUGGCCUUGUCAGCAAGUUGCAUUCUAGAAAGUCAUAGCACCUUCGCUAGGUAAUCGGUCAACCUUGCUGUAAAGGAAAAUCCCUUGAUUCAUAAGGUAUGAACCAUAAAUAUAGUCCAGCUCAGUUUAUGUACAUGUAUGUGAGUGUUAAUGUGGUUUAUCUUCCGUGAUUGAACUCCUAAUUGUUUUUCAUCUGUGCUCGCCAUUUAAUUUUUGACGCUAGAAUUGUGGUUCAGAUGAUCCACGAAAAUGUAAAAAUGUUUAAUCCCCACAAAUGCACCACCUUUAUUUCUAUUAAUAUCAGAGUUGUCUACGUCAAUUUAUAAUCUAAUGGUGGAACCAUACGUUUUUACUUUGAAGAGUUUUCUUUAAGUUUUUGGAUAACAAUGGUUUGGUGCAUUUUCUCUUCAAUUAGACAAUACUCAAGUUUGCUAUUCCCUUAUCGUGGUAAAAUAAGGCAUUUUCAAUUUUCACUAUAUAUGCAGUACACUAAGAUAUCAUCUUUUGUUAACAUAGAAAUGCUUAUACGUGGAAAAUGUUAACUUUGAUUGGGCGCCGACACGUUUUAUCAGUUGGUGGCAGCAUUCAGAAAAUCUUGCCACCUACGAGCAGCAGGAUUCUCUUAAAAGUCUGCAUUUCAAUGUUGGACAGGAUUCAUGACAAAGAGGGGAAAUCAAGUUUGUCAACCAAAGUCGCUCUCACCUUAUGACUCAGAGUCCCACGUUGUUGACAUUGAUAAUUUUGACGAUGAACUUGAGGAAGCUAACACCACUCCUUUUUGGAGAGGGGGUUUGGCAUAUACAAGGUAUUCAAUUAUGUGAAGAAUAUGUAACUAAAUGACAAUGGUACUUGUCUCCCAUAUAACCUAUCAAGUAAGCAAAAACUGUCAAAUGACUUAAUAUAAUCUUUCUUAAAUCAAGCUUUAUCAAAAGCAAAACUUGAAUAGCUCAUUCUUCAUUCACAUUGGUGCUAAACUAGCUUAAUGGCCCAUUAUUAAGUCAGUCUCCUUGCCACAAUUAAAUGUACCUUUUUUUGUGUGAUGGCCCAGCUGCUAAAAGCAUUCAGUUUUGGACAGCACCUCUUAAAUAACAGAGCAAUCAUUUAUAUUUUUUCAAAUCUGAAACAUUUGUUGUGGUUUGAUUCUAUUGUACUUGGGGCUGCUGGAAGCUUAGCCUUGUUUAGGACCUGUUUCUUUUUGUUUGUCUAAGCAAACAAUUUUAUUUGCCUAACAUUAGUUUUAGACUAGUCAAACAAUGCAGAGACUAGCUGAUAAUGAAUUAAUCCUACCUUGAAAAAGCUAGUAGAAAAGUCCAUUUCUCCAACACCAAUUUACUAUCAGUUUGUGAGUUUCUAAACUUCAAGAGAUUCGUUGAGAUUUUCUAUCAUUUGUAUUCAUUGUUAAACUUGCAAAUAAUACCUGUAUUAGUUUGUUUAUCAUGUGCUUUAGCUUGAGGAAUUCCUUGCUUUAUUUUUUCCAAACAUAUAGGUUAAAAGUAUAAUGUGAGGAAUUAAGAGAUCAUUUAGGUCCCGACUCUUUUCUGUUAGCAUCUUCUUGGUGUCAAUGAUGUGGAAUACAACAUAAUUAAAUUUUUAAUAUUCCAUUUCCCUAUACAACUUAAAACCGUUAAAAGCUUAAUUCGAUCUAGCUUUGUCUAAAUUAUAGUAAUCAUUUGCUCCUCGUGUCUCUUGAUUCAGCUUAAUUCGAUCUAGCUUUGUCUAAAUUAUAGUAAUCAUUUGCUCCUCGUGUCUCUUGAUUCACUUUCUAUUCCCGAAAAGUCGAAAACUAAGUGAUAAAGGUUUUGUGAAAUCUUCUAAGAUGUUAAUUGGUAAAAGGAUUGGUGUUGGUUGAAUAUAUUUUCCUCACUUUCUAUUAAUGUUCUAUUUUUUUCUGUAGGAUCUUAUAAGCACACCCUCUAUGUGUUCCUGGAGUUUGCGCUACUGUUUGUGAUUGGACUAAUGUAUGCAUAUUUGACUGUCAAUUACCUUUAUGGUUCCUAUCUACACUGGCGGAGCCACAUAUAGUUGAGCUUUGUCGGAAAAUUACAUUGUGUAGCUAGAUAAAAAAAUUAUUUUUAUGUAUAUAUAUUACAUAUUGACACUUCUUGGCUUCUUCGUGAAUUUACUUCUUUAUAUUUUAACACCCCUUAGUGAAAAUUCUGGCUCCGCCACUGCCUAUCUACAUAGGAUUUACCUGUAAGUUCUUUGAUCAUUGCUUUUGGUAAUACUAUGUUUUUAGUUUCAUUUACUCAGAUAGCUGCAUAUGUUCUUGUUUUGAUAAAAGGGAGAAGCAUGGAAAAUGCAGUUACUGGGUGUAGCUUGUUUGUCACUUGCCUGCUAAAAUGGAGGCGAUUGAAGUUAGUGUAAAACUACAGGCAAAUGCGUGUUCAUCUUGCUGGUUCUUUUUAGGGGCUGUUUGAAGUUCAAAUUUGUAAAUGCUACAGUGGAAUUAGGAGCCGAAGAAAUAAUUUCACAUAAUCAGAAGAUAUAUGUUAUUUUAGCAUUGGGAUACUUUAUUUCUUUUGUAAUUAACUAUGAAAUUCUAUAUAAUAAUUGAUUAUUUUGUUUAUUUUCGGAUUACAUGUUAGCUUGUAUAUUUAUGUUG